rnacentral:rRNA from 1 species
UACGAGGGGGGCAAGCGUUGUUCGGAUUUAUUGGGCGUAAAGGGUGCGUAGGCGGCUUGGCAAGUCUUGUGUGAAAUCUUUGGGCUCAACCCAAAGCCUGCACGAGAAACUGCCGGGCUUGAGUAUGGGAGAGGUGAGUGGAAUUUCCGGUGUAGCGGUGAAAUGCGUAGAUAUCGGAAGGAACACCUGUGGCGAAAGCGGCUCACUGGACCAUAACUGACGCUGAGGCACGAAAGCUAGGGGAGCAAACAGG